rnacentral:ncRNA from 1 species
UUCCAUCACGCUGUCGAUAGGCUUAAUGUGUAAUCGGUUAUCUUUCAAAUCGAUUACACCGCUAGCGUGAGCCUGCCUGCCGUCCAGAGGGAUAUCCAGAUUCAGCCGCCCGCUGACGCCGCCGCUGAUAUCCACUUCAUCCAGCGCGGAGCCUACAGUAUUCUUUAAGGGAGACUGCUUCAGGUAGUCGCGAACGUCAGGCCCCUGCCCGCUUACCUGAGCGUUAAUGUUCAGCUGACCUUCGUGGAAGUCGGCAAUAACAGCAUCGAUAUUGGCGCCGUUCACUUUGCCCAGCAUGGCUGAAGGGGCGUGCAUCCAUAGGCCGCUGUUAAUAAAGUUCAGAUUGAUGGUCAUGUCGCUCAGCGGCUGCCAGGUCGGCUGAAACUUAAACACCGUGUCA